rnacentral:rRNA from 1 species
AAUAGAUACCCCGGUAGUCCACGCCGUAAACGAUGGAUACUAGCUGUUUGAGCGCAAGUUUGAGUGGCUAAGCGAAAGUGAUAAGUAUCCCACCUGGGGAGUACGGGCGCAAGCCUGAAACUCAAAGGAAUUGACGGGGGCCCGCACAAGCGGUGGAGCAUGUGGUUUAAUUCGAUGAUACGCGAGGAACCUUACCAGGGCUUAAAUGUAGAUUGACGUAUUUGGAAACAGAUAUUUCUUCGGACAAUUUACAAGGUGCUGCAUGGUUGUCGUCAGCUCGUGCCGUGAGGUGUCAGGUUAAGUCCUAUAACGAGCGCAACCCCUGUUGUUAGUUGCCAGCGAGUAAUGUCGGGAACUCUAGCAAGACUGCCAGUGUAAACUGUGAGGAAGGUGGGGAUGACGUCAAAUCAUCACGGCCCUUACGUCCUGGGCCACACACGUGCUACAAUGGCCGGUACAGAGAGCAGCCACUUAGCGAUAAGGAGCGAAUCUAUAAAAGCCGGUCACAGUUCGGAUCGGAGU